UCCCUGGUGGUCCAGUGGUUAGGACUCUACACUUCCACUGUAGAGGAUACAGGUUCCGUCCCUGGUCAGGGAA
rnacentral:tRNA from 1 species